rnacentral:rRNA from 1 species
AGUGAACGCUGGCGGUAGGCCUAACACAUGCAAGUCGAACGGCAGCACAGUAAGAGCUUGCUCUUACGGGUGGCGAGUGGCGGACGGGUGAGGAAUACAUCGGAAUCUACUUUUUCGUGGGGGAUAACGUAGGGAAACUUACGCUAAUACCGCAUACGACCUACGGGUGAAAGCAGGGGAUCUUCGGACCUUGCGCGAUUGAAUGAGCCGAUGUCGGAUUAGCUAGUUGGCGGGGUAAAGGCCCACCAAGGCGACGAUCCGUAGCUGGUCUGAGAGGAUGAUCAGCCACACUGGAACUGGGACACGGUCCAGACUCCUAAGGGAGGCAGCAGUGGGGAAUAUUGGACAAUGGGCGCAAGCCUGAUCCAGGCAUACCGCGUGGGUGGAGAAGGCCUUCGGGUUGUAAAGCCCUUUUGUUGGGAAAGAAAAGCAGCAGGUUAAUACCCCGCUGUUCUGACGGUACCCAAAGAAUAAGCACCGGCUAACUUCGUG